rnacentral:rRNA from 1 species
CGUAGGUAAUCUGCCCAUGUGUCCGGGAUAACUGCUGGAAACGGUAGCUAAAACCGGAUAGGUAUACAGAGCGCAUGCUCAGUAUAUUAAAGCGCCCAUCAAGGCGUGAACAUGGAUGGACCUGCGGCGCAUUAGCUAGUUGGUGAGGUAACGGCCCACCAAGGCGAUGAUGCGUAGCCGGCCUGAGAGGGUAAACGGCCACAUUGGGACUGAGACACGGCCCAA